GAUGAACGCUGGCGGCGUGCCUAAUACAUGCAAGUCGAGCGAACAGACGAGGAGCUUGCUCCUCUGACGUUAGCGGCGGACGGGUGAGUAACACGUGGAUAACCUACCUAUAAGACUGGGAUAACUUCGGGAAACCGGAGCUAAUACCGGAUAAUAUAUUGAACUGCAUGGUUCAAUAGUGAAAGACGGUUUUGCUGUCACUUAUAGAUGGUUCCGCGCCGCAUUAGCUAGUUGGUAAGGUAACGGCUUACCAAGGCAACGAUGCGUAGCCGACCUGAGAGGGUGAUCGGCCACACUGGAACUGAGACACGGUCCAGACUCCUACGGGAGGCAGCAGUAGGGAAUCUUCCGCAAUGGGCGAAAGCCUGACGGAGCAACGCCGCGUGAAUGAUGAAGGUCUUCGGAUCGUAAAGCUCUGUUAUUAGGGAAGAACAAAUGUGUAAGUAACUAUGCACGUCUUGACGGUACCUAAUCAGAAAGCCACGGCUAACUACGUG
rnacentral:rRNA from 1 species